rnacentral:rRNA from 1 species
GACGAACGCUGGCGGCGUGCUUAACACAUGCAAGUCGAACGAAGAGCGAUGGAAGCUUGCUUCUAUCAAUCUUAGUGGCGAACGGGUGAGUAACGCGUAAUCAACCUGCCCUUCAGAGGGGGACAACAGUUGGAAACGACUGCUAAUACCGCAUACGAUCUAAUCUCGGCAUCGAGGAUAGAUGAAAGGUGGCCUCUACAUGUAAGCUAUCACUGAAGGAGGGGAUUGCGUCUGAUUAGCUAGUUGGAGGGGUAACGGCCCACCAAGGCGAUGAUCAGUAGCCGGUCUGAGAGGAUGAACGGCCACAUUGGGACUGAGGCACGGCCCAGACUCCUACGGGAGGCAGCAGUGGGGAAUCUUCCGCAAUGGACGAAAGUCUGACGGAGCAACGCCGCGUGAGUGAUGGCGGCCUUCGGGUUGUAAAGCUCUGUUAAUCGGGACGAAAGGCCUUCUUGCGAAUAGUGAGAAGGAUUGACGGUACCGGAAUAGAAAGCCACGGCUAACUACGUG